AUGAACGCUGGCGGCAUGCCUAACACCUGCAAGUCGAACGAAGGCUUCGGCCUUAGUGGCGCACGGGUGCGUAACGCGUGGGAAUCUGCCCUUGGGUUCGGAAUAACAGUUAGAAAUGACUGCUAAUACCGGAUGAUGUCGUAAGACCAAAGAUUUAUCGCCCAAGGAUGAGCCCGCGUAGGAUUAGCUAGUUGGUGGGGUAAAGGCCUACCAAGGCGACGAUCCUUAGCUGGUCUGAGAGGAUGAUCAGCCACACUGGGACUGAGACACGGCCCAGACUCCUACGGGAGGCAGCAGUGGGGAAUAUUGGACAAUGGGCGAAAGCCUGAUCCAGCAAUGCCGCGUGAGUGAUGAAGGCCUUAGGGUUGUAAAGCUCUUUUACCCGGGAUGAUAAUGACAGUACCGGGAGAAUAAGCUCCGGCUAACUUCGUG
rnacentral:rRNA from 1 species